GUGAAUCAUCAAAUUUUUGAACGCAUAUUGCACUCUCUGGUAUUCUGGAGAGUAUGCCUGUUUGAGGGUCAGUUAAAUACAAAUCGGGGUUUAUGCCACCUUUGGUGGUGACGCUUCGGAAUUGGGUUGUCUUUACCUUUCGGUCAAGUGACUUAAAAUUUUUUGUAUGAUAUCUGUACGUAUUUAAAUUUAUUUGCUACGCUUUGUAUUAUCGAAUGUUUAUUGGGUGUGAUAAUACUCAUGUCUCACGUCUAUAAUUUUUAAUCUAAUGAC
rnacentral:misc_RNA from 1 species